UACGUAGGUGGCAAGCGUUGUCCGGAAUUAUUGGGCGUAAAGCGCGCGCAGGCGGUCCUUUAAGUCUGAUGUGAAAGCCCACGGCUCAACCGUGGAGGGUCAUUGGAAACUGGGGGACUUAGUGCAGGAGAGAAGAGUGGAAUUCCACGUGUAGCGGUGAAAUGCGUAGAUAUCUGGAGGAACACCGGUGGCGAAGGCGGCAUCCUGGACCAACACUGACACUGAGGAGCGAAAGCCAGGGGAGCAAACGGG
rnacentral:rRNA from 1 species